rnacentral:rRNA from 1 species
GAUGAACGCUGGCGGCGUGCCUAAUACAUGCAAGUCGAGCGAACGGACGAGAAGCUUGCUUCUCUGAUGUUAGCGGCGCACGGGUGAGUAACACGUGGAUAACCUACCUAUAAGACUGGGAUAACUUCGGGAAACCGGAUCUAAUACCGGAUAAUAUUUUGAACCGCAUUGUUCAAAAGUGAAAGACGGUCUUUCUGUCACUUAUAGAUGGAUCCCCGCUGCAUUAGCUAGUUGGUAAGGUAACAGCUUACCAAGGCAACGAUGCAUAGCCGACCUGAGAGAGUGAUAGGCGACACUGGAACUGAGACAGGGUCCAGCGUCCUACGGGAGGCCGCAGUAGGGAAUCUUACGCAAUGGGCGAAAGCAUGACGGAGCAACGCCGCGUGAGUGAUGAAGGUCUUCGGAGCGGAAUACUGUGUUAUUAGGGAAGAACAUAUGUGUAAGUAGAUGUGCACAUCUUGACGGUACCUAAUCAGAAAGCCCCGGCUAACUACGUG